rnacentral:rRNA from 1 species
AGAUUGAACGCUGGCGGCAGGCCUAACACAUGCAAGUCGAGCGGUAGAGAGGUGCUUGCACCUCUUGAGAGCGGCGGACGGGUGAGUAAUGCCUAGGAAUCUGCCUAGUGGUGGGGGAUAACGUUCGGAAACGGACGCUAAUACCGCAUACGUCCUACGGGAGAAAGCGGGGGACCUUCGGGCCUCGCGCCAUUAGAUGAGCCUAGGUCGGAUUAGCUAGUUGGUGAGGUAAUGGCUCACCAAGGCGACGAUCCGUAACUGGUCUGAGAGGAUGAUCAGUCACACUGGAACUGAGACACGGUCCAGACUCCUACGGGAGCAGCAGGUGGGGGAAUA